rnacentral:rRNA from 1 species
GGCCGCGGGAAUUCGAUUAGAGUUUGAUCAUGGCUCAGGAUGAACGCUGGCGGUAUGCCUAACACAUGCAAGUCGUACGAGAGUUUUUAACUCUAGUGGCGGACGGGUGAGUAACACGUGAGAAUUUGCCUUUAGGAGGGGGACAACAAUUGGAAACGAAUGCUAAUACCCCAUAUGCUUUCGAGUAAAAUGGAUUUUAUCUGCCUAAAGAGAAGCUCGCGGCUGAUUAGCUUGUUGGUAAGGUAAAAGCUUACCAAGGCGACGAUCAGUAUCUGGUUUGAGAGGACGAUCAGACACACUGGAACUGAGACACGGUCCAGACUCCUACGGGAGGCAGCAGUGGGGAAUUUUCCGCAAUGGGCGAAAGCCUGACGGAGCAAUACCGCGUGAGGGAAGACUGCCUAUGGGUUGUAAACCUCUUUUUUCAGGGAGGAAUAAAAUGACGUGUACCUGAAGAAUAAGCAUCGGCUAACUCCGUGCCAGCAGCCGCGGUA